GCUUAUGAUGAUGAUGAUCUUUGUUCGCAUUUCUCUAAAGAUCUCAUGCAUUUGCCGAUUGGGAUGGCAACCUAGGAUGGUUAUGUUCUCCUUCGUAAGUGACAAUAAGCAUUGAUGGCUCUUCCAAGCAUCUCUCAACGUGCUUCCUGGCAGGACAGCCUCUCAUGCUGCUACACUUGUAGUAUCCCCUAGGGUGCGGAGAA
rnacentral:misc_RNA from 1 species